rnacentral:lncRNA from 10 species
CAGUAAUUUUCUCCCUGGCAUUCAACCAGAGGGCAGUUGGACUGUGCACCGACUGCACUAGUGGUGGGUAGCCAAAGCUAGCCUCCAAAGUGAACCACGGUCUGGGGCCUGGUCCCGUUUGACCGAAAAUGCUAUCCAGAACCCCCACCGAGCUGCAGGCCCUUCUUCCUGAUUGAGCUAGAGAACCAUAUAUUCAAGACCAAAGAUCAUAUCUCAUAAUGAGGAGCAGCAUAAGAUGGAAGCAGCUGAAUGAAUAAAACUGAGAUGAAAUAAUUUGUCCAAAGUUGUAUAUUUGAGCUCUCUGUGUGACCACCCAUCUUCCAAACUCACCCUACCGCAGUCAGCCAGCAGCUCUGGGUCGUUAGCCUGUCAGAACCCUGAGAGCAGAAUGAUGGACAGCAAGAGGCAGCAGGCAGGAUGGAGAACACUCCAGCAUACACGACGUUGGGGUACAGCACACAGGGAUAAGAGACACAGCAGGGAAGUGGUGGAUGAUGCCUGUGGACUCCAGGUCCAGAAGUCUGUCAUCUUCAACACACUGCUUCUGAUCAUUUUAAAUUUAGAGUGCAAAUUAUUAAUUGCAGAAUCAAGACCACUGGAAUCAAGACAAACUGACUUUGUGUCAAUAAUUUAAUGCCAUUGUAUUUUGAAAGAGUUCAGAAAAAGAGUACAUCUGCUUCACAACUACUUGAUCUCCAUUUUCUUUUUUAUGCAUAUCCUGACUGCUGUAUAACUUAAGCCUAGGUUUUUUCUCUCAUCCAUUUGGUGGAAUAUUUUUUCCUAAAUGAAGAGUAAUCUAUAUUUUCUAUUUUGAUUUAAAUCUAUAAUUGGAGUGCUUAUCAACAUUGGCUAAUGAAAUCAACCUAUCAACACUAUAAUAUUACAGCAUGAAGUUUCUGGCUAAAAUAUUUUCCUUAUGGUUCUGCUUUUCUAGGAUCCAUAUUAUAUUCUUCCCUUGGUCUUUCUUUGGGAGUCAUUUCUUAAAAACACCCCCCCUUUUUUUUCUGAAGACUCACAUGAGAGCAGUGGAAUCAAGAGUUAGGUCUUUCUUUUCUCACUUAAGAACAAUAAGCAUACAGAAACUGAAAUUAUACAACAAAAUUUUACCCAUUUCUGCUAAAUUAAAGAGAUUUUUAAAAACAAUUUUAAAUGUCA